GACGAACGCUGGCGGCGUGCUUAACACAUGCGAGUCGAACGGAAAGGCCCUGCUUUUGUGGGGUGCUCGAGUGGCGAACGGGUGAGUAACACGUGAGUAACCUGCCCUUGACUUUGGGAUAACUUCAGGAAACUGGGGCUAAUACCGGAUAGGAGCUCCUGCUGCAUGGUGGGGGUUGGAAAGUUUCGGCGGUUGGGGAUGGACUCGCGGCUUAUCAGCUUGUUGGUGGGGUAGUGGCUUACCAAGGCUUUGACGGGUAGCCGGCCUGAGAGGGUGACCGGCCACAUUGGGACUGAGAUACGGCCCAGAGUCCUACGGUAGGCAGCAGUGGGGAAUAUUGCACAAUGGGCGGAAGCCUGAUGCAGCAACGCCGCGUGCGGGAUGACGGCCUUCGGGUUGUAAACCGCUUUCGCCUGUGACGAAGCGUGAGUGACGGUAAUGGGUAAAGAAGCACCGGCUAACUACGUG
rnacentral:rRNA from 1 species